AGGGUUUGAUCCUGGCUCAGGAUGAACGCUGGCGGCGUGCCUAAUACAUGCAAGUCGAGCGAACGGACGAGAAGCUUGCUUCUCUGAUGUUAGCGGCGGACGGGUGAGUAACACGUGGAUAACCUACCUAUAAGACUGGGAUAACUUCGGGAAACCGGAGCUAAUACCGGAUAAUAUUUUGAACCGCAUGGUUCAAAAGUGAAAGACGGUCUUGCUGUCACUUAUAGAUGGAUCCGCGCUGCAUUAGCUAGUUGGUAAGGUAACGGCUUACCAAGGCAACGAUGCAUAGCCGACCUGAGAGGGUGAUCGGCCACACUGGAACUGAGACACGGUCCAGACUCCUACGGGAGGCAGCAGUAGGGAAUCUUCCGCAAUGGGCGAAAGCCUGACGGAGCAACGCCGCGUGAGUGAUGAAGGUCUUCGGAUCGUAAAACUCUGUUAUUAGGGAAGAACAUAUGUGUAAGUAACUGUGCACAUCUUGACGGUACCUAAUCAGAAAGCCACGGCUAACUACGUGCCAGCAGCCGCGGUAAUACGUAGGUGGCAAGCGUUAUCCGGAAUUAUUGGGCGUAAAGCGCGCGUAGGCGGUUUUUUAAGUCUGAUGUGAAAGCCCACGGCUCAACCGUGGAGGGUCAUUGGAAACUGGAAAACUUGAGUGCAGAAGAGGAAAGUGGAAUUCCAUGUGUAGCGGUGAAAUGCGCAGAGAUAUGGAGGAACACCAGUGGCGAAGGCGACUUUCUGGUCUGUAACUGACGCUGAUGUGCGAAAGCGUGGGGAUCAAACAGGAUUAGAUACCCUGGUAGUCCACGCCGUAAACGAUAAGUGCUAAGUGUUAGGGGGUUUCCGCCCCUUAGUGCUGCAGCUAACGCAUUAAGCACUCCGCCUGGGGAGUACGACCGCAAGGUUGAAACUCAAAGGAAUUGACGGU
rnacentral:rRNA from 1 species